rnacentral:rRNA from 1 species
UGCAGUCGAACGCUUCUUUUUCCACCGGAGCUUGCUCCACCGGAAAAAGANGAGUGGCGAACGGGUGAGUAACACGUGGGUAACCUGCCCAUCAGAAGGGGAUAACACUUGGAAACAGGUGCUAAUACCGUAUAACAAUCNAAACCGCAUGGUUUUGAUUUGAAAGGCGCUUUCGGGUGUCGCUGAUGGAUGGACCCGCGGUGCAUUAGCUAGUUGGUGAGGUAACGGCUCACCAAGGCCACGAUGCAUAGCCGACCUGAGAGGGUGAUCGGCCACAUUGGGACUGAGACACGGCCCAAACUCCUACGGGAGGCAGCAGUAGGGAAUCUUCGGCAAUGGACGAAAGUCUGACCGAGCAACGCCGCGUGAGUGAAGAAGGUUUUCGGAUCGUAAAACUCUGUUGUUAGAGAAGAACAAGGAUGAGAGUAACUGUUCAUCCCUUGACGGUAUCUAACCAGAAAGCCACGGCUAACUACGUGCCAGCAGCCGCGGUAAUACGUAGGUGGCAAGCGUUGUCCGGAUUUAUUGGGCGUAAAGCGAGCGCAGGCGGUUUCUUAAGUCUGAUGUGAAAGCCCCCGGCUCAACCGGGGAGGGUCAUUGGAAACUGGGANGACUUGAGUGCAGAAGAGGAGAGUGGAAUUCCAUGUGUAGCGGUGAAAUGCGUAGAUAUAUGGAGGAACACCAGUGGCGAAGGCGGCUCUCUGGUCUGUAACUGACGCUGAGGCUCGAAAGCGUGGGGAGCAAACAGGAUUAGAUACCCUGGUAGUCCACGCCGUAAACGAUGAGUGCUAAGUGUUGGAGGGUUUCCGCCCUUCAGUGCUGCAGCUAACGCAUUAAGCACUCCGCCUGGGGAGUACGACCGCAAGGUUGAAACUCAAAGGAAUUGACGGGGGCCCGCACAAGCGGUGGAGCAUGUGGUUUAAUUCGAAGCAACGCGAAGAACCUUACCAGGUCUUGACAUCCUUUGACCACUCUAGAGAUAGAGCUUCCCCUUCGGGGGCAAAGUGACAGGUGGUGCAUGGUUGUCGUCAGCUCGUGUCGUGAGAUGUUGGGUUAAGUCCCGCAACGAGCGCAACCCUUAUUNUUAGUUGCCAUCAUUCAGUUGGGCACUCUAGCAAGACUGCCGGNGACAAACCGGAGGAAGGUGGGGAUGACGUCAAAUCAUCAUGCCCUUAUGACNUGGGCUACACACGUGCUACAAUGGGAAGUACAACGAGUNGCGAAGUCGCGAGGCUAAGNUAAUCUCUUAAAGCUUNUCUCAGUUCGGAUUNCAGGNUGCAACUCGC